UAUUGGAUGUUAUGAUUCUCUGAUCAUGGGUGAGGAGAUAUUUGGUCCAUUGCUUCCAUCAUCACGGUGAAUAAAUUGGAAGAAAGUUUUGAUCUGAUCAAUUUAGGAACAAAGCCUCUGGCUGCAUAUAUAUUUACAAAUAACAAGAAGCUGAAAGAGCAGUUUGUGAAGAAUGUUUCUGCAGGGGGAUGCUUGUCAAUGACAUUGCCUUACAUGUAAUGUUCAUUUGUCUUUUUUUUUUUAUAUAUAUAUAAUCUUUUCAAUCAAUGCAUGAGCUUGCAUGUGUGUGUGCUAAGAACUAAAUAACCAUUCAGAGUUGGAGGGUUACCCUUAUUUUGAUUUU